UACGAAGGGGGCUAGCGUUGUUCGGAAUUACUGGGCGUAAAGCGUGCGCAGGCGGCUUCUCAAGUCAGGGGUGAAAGCCCAGAGCUCAACUCUGGAAUUGCCUUUGAUACUGGCUGUCUUGAGUUCGGGAGAGGUGAGUGGAAUGCCGAGUGUAGAGGUGAAAUUCGUAGAUAUUCGGCGGAACACCAGUGGCGAAGGCGACUCACUGGCCCGAUACUGACGCUGAGGCGCGAAAGCGUGGGGAGCAAACAGG
rnacentral:rRNA from 1 species